CCUACGGGGGGCAGCAGUGGGGAAUAUUGGACAAUGGGCGCAAGCCUGAUCCAGCAAUGCCGCGUGGGUGAAGAAGGUCUUCGGAUUGUAAAGCCCUUUCGACGGGGAGGCGGUACCCGUAGAAGAAGCCCCGGCUAACUUCGUGCCAGCAGCCGCGGUAAUACGAAGGGGGCUAGCGUUGCUCGGAAUGACUGGGCGUAAAGGGCGCGUAGGCGGCGUUCAUAGUCAGGCGUGAAAUUCCUGGGCUCAACCUGGGGACUGCGCUUGAUACGUGAAUGCUUGAGUCUGGAAGAGGGUCGUGGAAUUCCCAGUGUAGAGGUGAAAUUCGUAGAUAUUGGGAAGAACACCGGUGGCGAAGGCGGCGACCUGGUCGGACUGACGCUGAGGCGCGAAAGCGUGGGGAGCAAACAGGAUUAGAUACCCUUGUAGUC
rnacentral:rRNA from 1 species